GUACACUCCUACGGGAGGCAGCAGUGGGGAAUUUUGGACAAUGGGCGAAAGCCUGAUCCAGCAAUGCCGCGUGAGUGAAGAAGGCCUUCGGGUUGUAAAGCUCUUUUGUCAGGGAAGAAACGGUGAGAGCUAAUAUCUCUUGCUAAUGACGGUACCUGAAGAAUAAGCACCGGCUAACUACGUGCCAGCAGCCGCGGUAAUACGUAGGGUGCAAGCGUUAAUCGGAAUUACUGGGCGUAAAGCGUGCGCAGGCGGUUUUGUAAGUCUGAUGUGAAAUCCCCGGGCUCAACCUGGGAAUUGCAUUGGAGACUGCAAGGCUAGAAUCUGGCAGAGGGGGGUAGAAUUCCACGUGUAGCAGUGAAAUGCGUAGAUAUGUGGAGGAACACCGAUGGCGAAGGCAGCCCCCUGGGUCAAGAUUGACGCUCAUGCACGAAAGCGUGGGGAGCAAACAGGAUUAGAAACCCCAGUAGUCCCAUG
rnacentral:rRNA from 1 species